AAAUUGAAGAGUUUGAUCAUGGCUCAGAUUGAACGCUGGCGGCAGGCCUAACACAUGCAAGUCGAGCGGCAGCGGGAAAGUAGCUUGCUACUUUUGCCGGCGAGCGGCGGACGGGUGAGUAAUGCCUGGGAAAUUGCCCAGUCGAGGGGGAUAACAGUUGGAAACGACUGCUAAUACCGCAUACGCCCUACGGGGGAAAGCAGGGGACCUUCGGGCCUUGCGCGAUUGGAUAUGCCCAGGUGGGAUUAGCUAGUUGGUGAGGUAAUGGCUCACCAAGGCGACG
rnacentral:rRNA from 1 species